CGGCGGUGUGUGUGUGCAUUGCAAACGGUUGUGAAGACAUCCCUCUGAGACAUUACUUAAUUAUAACGUAUAUAACCGUGAGAUCUCGCCGACACCAGUAACGGAUGGAGGAGAGAGGGAGGAGCCCCAGAGGAGAUCAGCCCGGUUAUCAUCGAGACCGGUCCCGGCCAAGGCAGAGCCAAAGGCCAAGAAGGCAGCAAAGAAAGAAAAGGCCGUGAUCGACAAGAAGGAGGACAAGAAGACCAAGAAGGCGAAGGAGAACGCAGAGGCCGAGGCCAACGAGGAAAACCACUCUGAGAACGGAGACGCCAAGACCAACGAGGUGGAGGCAGCCCCCGAGGAGGCCAAGGAGGAGGCCAAGUCCGAGUAGCACCACUGCCCAAGCUUCCUCGUCCUCUACAAAUCCCCGACCCCCCCAAACCACCACCCCAGCCAACCAGCCAGCCCCCCUCCAAGUCUCUCACAUGGUUUCCCUCCAAGGCGUAUUGUUAACAGAGGAAUAUUUUUAUCAAUGAUUUUAUAAGUAUCCGUACAGAUUUUUAGCACAAAAAGCAAAGCUGAUUAUGCAGUGGUCAUAUCAAGUGUCUACAAGCAAGAUGAACACACUAAAAUCUUUUUUAAAUGGCAUUUCAUGAUUGUUGAAGGCUUGUUUGGUGUAGAAAGUGCGUCCCACCCCCCCUUGCCAGAUUGGCUAUGUCGUGAGUUGUGUACUCCUGUGUUUCUCCUCCUCGCCCCCAUUUUCCCCUCCUCCCCUCUUCAUCCUCCCCAGAUUAGACCCCCCCCCCUCUACAGUUCAGCCUUUUAUCCAUGUAAUAAUAACGGUUCAGCCAUGUUAAUGGCUGACUCUUUUAGGCCUCUAAAUGUUCAGCGAGUUCCCUUUUGCUUUUGUCUCUUUAGGUUUUUUCCUUUUUCUUUUUUUUUUUUUUUCCCAUUGAACUCGUGUUAAAAAAAAAAAAAAAGCGUGUUGUCCAUAAGAAAGAGGAAGACGAACAUGUGAAACAUUCCGGGAACAGCAAUUGCCUCCGACCCGUCUCCUAGACGACCCUGCGUGUGAAACAGCUCCCGCUCCAUCCACGCUGUCACGUCAGCUUUUCUAAACACUCUGUUUUUUUUUAAACAAUCAAAUUUGGAAACCUUCUCUGACAAAUUGCAGGUGUCUGGUCCCACUCUUAUGUUCUGAAAUUCUCUUAAUAAAAACAAGUCCUGGGAAUUUUCCUCGAUAUAAUGUGUCACGAGUUUGUUUCUUUUAAGGGAGAGAAAGAGCUAUGGAAGUUGAGGAAUCACCACAAUGUUUUAAAGUUGAAGUAAAAAGUGAUUUGCAAGCAGGCCUUUA
ensembl:lncRNA